rnacentral:rRNA from 1 species
UACGUAGGGGGCAAGCGUUGUCCGGAUUCAUUGGGCGUAAAGAGCGUGUAGGCGGCCAGGUAGGUCGGUUGUGAAAACUGGAGGCUCAACCUUCAGAGGUCGACCGAAACCAUCUGGCUAGAGUCCGGGAGAGGAGAGUGGAAUUCCUGGUGUAGCGGUGAAAUGCGCAGAUAUCAGGAAGAACACCCGUGGCGAAAGCGGCUCUCUGGGCAGUAACUGACGCUGAGGAGCGAAAAGCGUGGGGAGCGAACAGGG